CAUUUGUGCUGUAUAUAUUGUUGAAGUAUUUCACUUCCCCUCCAUGUGACCACCUACGUGCACUGACAGAAAGCAAAGCCAGACUUCAAAGCAUCUGACAGGAGGCAGGCAGGCGUUGUUUCGUCAUCCUCCGAGAAAGAAGCUGAAGCAGAGUGGCAAGACCUCCCCAAGAAGAGUCAGAGCUCCAUUUGUUCCAGUGAGAUUGUAGUUAAAAGUUCUCAGGAUUUCGCUCAUCUUUAAUUGCUGCUGUCUCAAUUAAAUUGCAUCUGUGAUAACAACAGCCCUCCUGGAGCCCCAAAAGGAAC